rnacentral:rRNA from 1 species
UUAAGUUAGAAAGGGCGCACGGUGGAUGCCUUGACACUAGGAGUCGAUGAAGGACGGGACUAACGCCGAUAUGCUUCGGGGAGCUGUAAGUAAGCUUUGAUCCGAAGAUUUCCGAAUGGGGAAACCCACCAUACGUAAUGGUAUGGUAUCCUUACCUGAAUACAUAGGGUAAGGAAGACAGACCCAGGGAACUGAAACAUCUAAGUACCUGGAGGAAGAGAAAGCAAAUGCGAUUUCCUGAGUAGCGGCGAGCGAAACGGAACAUAGCCCAAACCAAGAGGCUUGCCUCUUGGGGUUGUAGGACAUUCUAUACGGAGUUACAAAGGAACGAGGUAGACGAAGCGACCUGGAAAGGUCCGUCGUAGAGGGUAACAACCCCGUAGUCGAAACUUCGUUCUCUCUUGAAUGUAUCCUGAGUACGGCGGAACACGUGAAAUUCCGUCGGAAUCUGGGAGGACCAUCUCCCAAGGCUAAAUACUCCCUAGUGAUCGAUAGUGAACCAGUACCGUGAGGGAAAGGUGAAAAGCACCCCGGAAGGGGAGUGAAAGAGAUCCUGAAACCGUGUGCCUACAAAUAGUCAGAGCCCGUUAACGGGUGAUGGCGUGCCUUUUGUAGAAUGAACCGGCGAGUUACGAUCCCGUGCGAGGUUAAGCUGAAGAGGCGGAGCCGCAGCGAAAGCGAGUCUGAAUAGGGCGUUUAGUACGUGGUCGUAGACCCGAAACCAGGUGAUCUACCCAUGUCCAGGGUGAAGUUCAGGUAACACUGAAUGGAGGCCCGAACCCACGCACGUUGAAAAGUGCGGGGAUGAGGUGUGGGUAGCGGAGAAAUUCCAAUCGAACCUGGAGAUAGCUGGUUCUCCCCGAAAUAGCUUUAGGGCUAGCCUUAAGUGUAAGAGUCUUGGAGGUAGAGCACUGAUUGGACUAGGGGUCCUCAUCGGAUUACCGAAUUCAGUCAAACUCCGAAUGCCAAUGACUUAUCCUUAGGAGUCAGACUGCGAGUGAUAAGAUCCGUAGUCAAAAGGGAAACAGCCCAGACCGCCAGCUAAGGUCCCAAAGUGUGUAUUAAGUGGAAAAGGAUGUGGAGUUGCUUAGACAACUAGGAUGUUGGCUUAGAAGCAGCCACCAUUUAAAGAGUGCGUAAUAGCUCACUAGUCGAGUGACUCUGCGCCGAAAAUGUACCGGGGCUAAAUACACCACCGAAGCUGCGGAUUGAUACCAAUGGUAUCAGUGGUAGGGGAGCGUUCUAAGGACAGUGAAGUCAGACCGGAAGGACUGGUGGAGUGCUUAGAAGUGAGAAUGCCGGUAUGAGUAGCGAAAGACGGGUGAGAAUCCCGUCCACCGAAUGCCUAAGGUUUCCUGAGGAAGGCUCGUCCGCUCAGGGUUAGUCAGGACCUAAGCCGAGGCCGACAGGCGUAGGCGAUGGACAACAGGUUGAUAUUCCUGUACCACCUCUUUAUCGUUUGAGCAAUGGAGGGACGCAGAAGGAUAGAAGAAGCGUGCGAUUGGUUGUGCACGUCCAAGCAGUUAGGCUGAUAAGUAGGCAAAUCCGCUUAUCGUGAAGGCUGAGCUGUGAUGGGGAAGCUCCUUAUGGAGCGAAGUCUUUGAUUCCCCGCUGCCAAGAAAAGCUUCUAGCGAGAUAAAAGGUGCCUGUACCGCAAACCGACACAGGUAGGCGAGGAGAGAAUCCUAAGGUGUGCGAGAGAACUCUGGUUAAGGAACUCGGCAAAAUGACCCCGUAACUUCGGGAGAAGGGGUGCUUUCUUAACGGAAAGCCGCAGUGAAUAGGCCCAAGCGACUGUUUAGCAAAAACACAGCUCUCUGCGAAGCCGUAAGGCGAAGUAUAGGGGGUGACACCUGCCCGGUGCUGGAAGGUUAAGGAGAGGGGUUAGCAUAAGCGAAGCUCUGAACUGAAGCCCCAGUAAACGGCGGCCGUAACUAUAACGGUCCUAAGGUAGCGAAAUUCCUUGUCGGGUAAGUUCCGACCCGCACGAAAGGUGUAACGAUUUGGGCACUGUCUCAACCAGAGACUCGGU